rnacentral:rRNA from 1 species
AACGCUGGUGGCGCGCUUAACACAUGCAAGUCGAGCGAGAACCGGUCCUUCGGGACCGGGGAAAGCGGCGAACGGGUGAGUAACACGUGGGUAAUCUGCCCUCGGUUUCGGGAUAGCCCGGGGAAACCCGGAUUAAUACCGAAUGGCCCUUUCGGUCUUCGGAUUGAAAGGAAAAGGUAGCUUCGGCCUCCGACCGAGGAUGAGCCCGCGGCGGAUUAGCUUGUUGGUGGGGUAACGGCCUACCAAGGCGACGAUCCGUAGCUGGUCUGAGGGGACGAUCAGCCACACUGGGACUGAGACACGGCCCAGACUGCUACGGGAGGCAGCAGUGGGGAAUCUUGCGCAAUGGGCGAAAGCCUGACGCAGCGACGCCGCGUGCGGGAAGAAGGCCUUCGGGUUGUAACCCGCUGUCAGGUGGGACGAAGCCACUCGGGUGAAUAGCCCAGAGGGUGACGGUACCUCCAGAAGAAGUCCCGGCUAACUACGGGCCAGCCGCCGCGGUAA